rnacentral:RNase_P_RNA from 1 species
GAAGCCCGCCAGACCGCCGCUGGUGCAAUCUGGGAAACCAGGCACUGGAGGAACGUCCGGACUGCACAGGGCAGCGUAGCAGGUAACACCUGUCCACCGUGAGGUGAGGAUCAGAGCAACAGAGACGAGCCGCUUCAGUGCGGGUGAAACGGGCAAUCUCUACGCGCAGCAAUACCAAGUAGGCCAGCGUUGAUGUGGCUCCGCAGAGCUGGCGGGUAGG